GGAGACUGCCAGGGAUAACCUGGAGGAAGGCGGGGAUGACGUCAAAUCAUCAUGCCCCUUAUGAUUUGGGCUACACACGUGCUACAAUGGCGUAAACAAAGGGAAGCGAACCUGCGAGGGUGGGCAAAUCCCAAAAAUAACGUCCCAGUUCGGACUGUAGUCUGCAACCCGACUACACGAAGCUGGAAUCGCUAGUAAUCGCGGAUCAGAAUGCCGCGGUGAAUACGUUCCCGGGUCUUGUACACACCGCCCGUCACACCAUGGGAGUCAGUAACGCCCGAAGUCAGUGACCUAACCGCAAGGAAGGAGCUGCCGAAGGCGGGACCGAUGACUGGGGUGAAGUCGUAACAAGGUAGCCGUAUCGGAAGGUGCGGCUGGAUCACCUCCUUUCUAAGGAA
rnacentral:rRNA from 2 species